rnacentral:rRNA from 1 species
GACGGAAGGUGCAAGCGUUACUCGGAAUUACUGGGCGUAAAGCGUGCGUAGGCGGUUUGUUAAGUCUGUCGUGAAAGCCCCGGGCUCAACCUGGGAAUGGCGAUGGAUACUGGCGAGCUAGAGUACGGUAGAGGAGAGUGGAAUUCCCGGUGUAGCAGUGAAAUGCGUAGAGAUCGGGAGGAACAUCAGUUGCGAAGGCGGCUCUCUGGACCAGUACUGACGCUGAGGCACGAAAGCGUGGGGAGCAAACAGG